UGGCGGCCGUAGCGCGGUGGUCCCACCUGACCCCAUGCCGAACUCAGAAGUGAAACGCCGUAGCGCCGAUGGUAGUGUGGGGUCUCCCCAUGCGAGAGUAGGGAACUGCCAGAUC
rnacentral:rRNA from 1 species